rnacentral:rRNA from 1 species
AUGACCCACGCUCCUUUAGGCUCUUUAAAUUCCAUGGGUGGCCUAGCUAUCGAGAUCAAUGCAGUUAAUUAUGUCUCUCCUAGAAGUUGGUUAUCAACUUCUCAUUUUGUUCUAGGAUUCUUUACUUUAUUUUGA